CAGCCGCCGCGGGAAUACGAAGGGGGCUAGCGUUGCUCGGAAUGACUGGGCGUAAAGGGCGCGUAGGCGGAUGGUACAGUCAGACGUGAAAUUCCUGGGCUCAACCUGGGGACUGCGUUUGAGACGUGCGAUCUAGAGUUUGGAAGAGGGUCGUGGAAUUCCCAGUGUAGAGGUGAAAUUCGUAGAUAUUGGGAAGAACACCGGUGGCGAAGGCGGCGACCUGGUCCUUGACUGACGCUGAGGCGCGAAAGCGUGGGGAGCAAACAGGAUUAGAUACCCCGGUAGUCCCUGUCUCUUAUAC
rnacentral:rRNA from 1 species